rnacentral:rRNA from 1 species
UACAGAGGUCUCAAGCGUUGUUCGGAUUCAUUGGGCGUAAAGGGUGUGUAGGUGGCGCCGUAAGUGGGGUGUGAAAUUUCGAGGCUUAACCUCGAAACUGCAUUCCAUACUGCGGUGCUUGAGGACUGGAGAGGAGACUGGAAUUUACGGUGUAGCAGUGAAAUGCGUAGAUAUCGUAAGGAAGACCAGUGGCGAAGGCGGGUCUCUGGACAGUUCCUGACGCUGAGACACGAAGGCCAGGGGAGCAAACGGG